UCUUAUUCCUUCUUUUUCGUGGUUGCAAAUCUGUCCUUUUCAAAGCUUGUCCCCCAUUGCUGCUUGGAGUCCUGCCACUGCUCGUUCGGUAUAUGCAAAAAUGCACUCCUUACCCUCUCCCUUGUAAAACUGGUGAUACAGACUGUACAUGUUGUUUGCUGUCAUUGGUGUUUUUUUAAGAUUUAGAUCUGAGAAUUUUCAUGGUAUUUUCUGAGCAUAUGUGCAAGUCAGUUAUGAUGGUACUUCUAAUUUGAAGGUAUGUCCAUGCCCCCACUGAUUUGUUUUUUGUUGUGACUGGUGCUAGGCAAGUAUUCAUGGCAAAGGAGAUGGAGACGAAGGAAAUCGUGGCAGUCAAGAAGAUCCGCAUGGACAACGAGCGAGAUGAUUUCCCUAUCACGGCCAUCAGGGAGAUUAAAAUCCUCAAGAAGCUGCAUCACCAGAACAUCGUCAAUCUCGAAAAGGUCGUCACCUCGCCAGGUGAAGUAAUAAAGUGUUCGGGUCAAUGCAUCAAGAGUCCGACGGAAGGGUAAAAUGUUGUUUUACCACUGUUCGGGAAUUGGCUCAUGGAGAUGACAGAGCAACAGAGCAAGAAGAAAGAAAAAUGAAAAUAAAGAGGGCAAAGGCAUUAUAUAGGUGACUUGCGUAAAACUGCCUCAGAAGAUGUAUACAUAGCGAAGUACCAUUAUAUACUUGGGGGCUCUUUUCUGUACUAGCAUCGGCCUUUGACCUCAUGAUAACAAAAUGCUAUAAGCUAGCUGGCCCACUUGGUUUAUUUUUUGAAUGCAUUUUUCUUCAUGUAGCUAUUUGAAAAAAAAUAUGGAUUACAGACCAUAAUAUUUCUCCAAAAAUAGAUUGUCCAGGAGAACAAGCAUGCUGAAUAUGUAGGACCAAUAGAUGGUUCAAUGGUUGAACAUUAAAAUUCUUCAGCCAUCUAUUUCUGAGGUAAAAUUUGCAUUUGUGUGCUGCUAUUUGGUUCAUUGCUGAUUUCUUUUGUGCCCAGCUGAAUCAUGUUCACUUCAGGAAUGUUGUAACUAGCUCUAGCACGACCAACCAAUGACUUUGCGCUGAUCUAAAGAGGUAGCCCAGUUUAAUUCAUGACAAUAGUUGCAUUCUCUGAUCUAAAGCUUCAUGGAGGCUGAUCUGCCAUUUCAUAGCUCUGAAUUGCUUAAAAAAAUGAAUCUGGCACUUGUGCUGCUGAUUGCUUGAUUGGUUUUUAUUUUACCAAUUUCACCACUUCACCGAAGGCUUACUGUUUUAUACUCCGAUAAACUUAAAAAUUAUACAGAGAUACGGAACAAUUCAAGGCAGCAUAAUUUUACCAUUUCAACCAUGGUGCCGGUGUUUCAAAAAUGGGAACUUUUGGUAACUAGAUGUCAUUGUCCUCAAUUUUACCAUUUCUUAUUUGUUCCCAAUGUUUGCAGAGGCAAUCCAUGUGAAGGAUAUUGAACAAUCAAAUUUGCAGGAGAAAAAAAUCAGAGCUGAGUUAUGCUUUCGAAUGGAUGAUAUAUCCACAAGGAACUAGCAAACACACAAGAGAAGCCAGGAGUUGGAGGAGAAAGCAAAAAGAAUAAACCUGCAAAUUGUGUCGUUGUUUUUCAUGGAUGGCUUAACCAAAGGGAAAGUAACAUGAGUGUUGCGCAUCCCACUUUUCUAUUUCCAUUUAAGCAGUGAGAUUUUGAUCUGGAUGUUGCUGCUUAAUGCGCCAUGCUUCAUUUUCACUGUCAAUAUUUCUCAUUUUGGACUAUAGAUAGAUCAUGUCUUUUGUA